GUAACUGAUUUUGCAAUUAGUAGGGUUAUUAAGGGGUAUCAAUUUUAUUCUAGUGCUUGAAUAUCAGUUGGUUAUUUGUAUUAUGCAUUCUAUUUUUUUCAAGUGUGAGAGUACUGAGUUCUGAGAAAAUUGAGAACUUGAGAGGUUAGCAAAGAAAAUUGAGAGAGUUACGAAUUUUCACAGCAAGUUCAAGUGAUUAGCAGUGUUUGCAUUUGUAAUUGAAG
rnacentral:lncRNA from 1 species